rnacentral:tRNA from 1 species
GUCUCUGUGGCGCAAUCGUUUAGCGCUAUCGGCUGUUAACCGAAAGGUUUGUGGUUCAAGCCCACCCAGGGACG